rnacentral:rRNA from 1 species
UACGGAGGGUGCGAGCGUUGUCCGGAAUCACUGGGCGUAAAGGGCGCGUAGGCGGCGCGGGAAGUCCAUGGUGAAAGCCCGAGGCUCAACUUCGGGUCGGCCAAGGAUACUCCCGGGCUCGAGCACUGUAGAGGCAGGUGGAAUUCCGGGUGUAGCGGUGGAAUGCGUAGAGAUCCGGAAGAACACCGGUGGCGAAGGCGGCCUGCUGGGCAGUAGCUGACGCUGAGGCGCGACAGCGUGGGGAGCAAACGAGG